GGAAUUCACAUGUAGACCAAGAAGUGGACUUCUAACUGACAAAUACCAGCUGAUUGUUUUCAAAGUAAUGCCUUCAGAAAUAAAGACUUUCAAACGAAUUGUCAAGUGUAGGCUCAAUGAUGCUGAUAAGUUUACCAAGGAAAUUUGCCUUGUUGGAUCAUCAGAAGCUCCAUGUCUUCAACUCACUGAUCAGGUGA